CGGGAGGCUGCACCAGGCGCGAAAUCUUCACAAUACGCGAAAGCGUGAUGAGGAGAUUCCAAGUGCCCUUGUACAGCAAGGGCUUUUGUGGAGUAUAAAUAGCUCCACGAAUAAGGGCUGGUCAAGACCAGUGCCAGCCUCCGCGGUAACACUGGCAGCUCAAGUGGUGGUCGCUUUUAUUGGGCUUAAAGCAUCCGUAGCCGGUUUAGUAAGUCUUCUGUGAAAUCCUGCCGCUUAACGGUAGGGCCUGCAGAGGAUACUACUAAUCUAGGAGCCGGGAGAGGUUGGGGGUAUUCCUAGGGUAGCGGUGAAAUGCGAUAAUCCUAGGAAGACCACGGAUAGCGAAGGCACCUAACUAGAACGGGCUCGACGGUGAGGGAUGAAAGCUAGGGGAGCAAACCGGAUUAGAUACCCUAGUAGUC
rnacentral:rRNA from 1 species